UACGUAGGUGGCAAGCGUUGUCCGGAUUUACUGGGCGUAAAGAGCGCGCAGGCGGUCGUUCAAGUCGCGUGUGAAAGCCCCCGGCUCAACUGGGGAGGGUCACGCGAUACUGAUCGACUGGAAGGCAGGAGAGGGUAGUGGAAUUCCCGGUGUAGUGGUGAAAUGCGUAGGUAUCGGGAGGAACACCAGUGGCGAAGGCGACUACCUGGCCUGUUCUUGACGCUGAGGCGCGAAAGCUAGGGGAGCAAACGGG
rnacentral:rRNA from 1 species